UUGCGAAGUUAAUGUUCCAUUCUUUUCAUUUUUCGCUUUUUCGAUGUAUUCUUCAAUUGUUCACGUUUUAUCUCUACUUCUUUUCUCAAACUCCGUUAUCCGCGCAGGCUAUCCAAUUUAUUUCGCAAUCGCGACAACAAUGUUGCAGCUUUUGUCUGUUUCUUUACGUAAUUCUUUUAUAUAAACAGCUGGUGUAGCCAUCAAUCUUUCAGAAGAAUAUUCGCCGAACGCUUGUGGUAUAAUUUUACACAAUUGCAUUUCUUUAAAUAAUUCUAUCAGCACAGCACUUCAUGAAGAAGACAAAAAGUCAAUACAAUGUCAAUCAGAAUUAAUGUCUGAAUAAAAUGUUUCAGAAGAUCUCUACUUUUAAUCGAUCAUUUACAACUAUCGAUACAAUUUUUAUGCUAACCUGAUUGAAUUCUCGACAAAUCUAUCGGCAAGAUAUCGAUCGCGAUGGCGCGUCCAAUGGCUCUCAACGAUCUACGAAACAGACAAGGCGACUAUAUUCAACGGAUUUCGAGGAAAUUGUUGCAAAUCCAUAAUCGUAUAUAAUCCAAUGUCCGUAGAACAAAGCAGAUAAAGCAACCGGUGAAAUAUGCAUGACUGAACGACUGCGCAACUCCCAGAUUCUCUAAUCGAGUCAAAGAUUCAGUCUAUACAACCGAAAAAUGCAAUUCGAGCAGAAAUAACAAAUGGAAUAAGCUCUAGCAACAACUCGAAAAGGUCAUUCCCCGACAUUUGAGACCAGAAGAAAAAUGGAGGGGAAGGUACAUGGAACGCAAUCAUCCCUAGAGCGAAGCUUUCAGAAGCAGCUAACCAUUAACACGGGGUUUUAUAGUCGACUUCUUGAAACAUUUCUUACGACGAAUGUACCCCAUAAAGACAUGAUUAAUAAAUAAAAAUACAUUUUUAAAAAAA